UACGUAGGGUGCGAGCGUUAAUCGGAAUUACUGGGCGUAAAGCGUGCGCAGGCGGUUUUGUAAGCCAGAUGUGAAAUCCCCGGGCUUAACCUGGGAAUGGCAUUUGGGACUGCAAGGCUGGAGUUUGGCAGAGGAGACUGGAAUUCCUGGUGUAGCAGUGAAAUGCGUAGAUAUCAGGAGGAACACCGAUGGCGAAGGCGGAUCUCUGGGCCGAUACUGACGCUGAGGCAGACGAAAGCGUGGGGAGCGAACG
rnacentral:rRNA from 1 species